UUAAAACUCCUUAAAUAGGAAUAAACACCAGUCCGCGGACUGUCUCCUCCGUUCCCUCUCUCCCUUCGUUGCCCUGUCGCUUAUAGCAACAGGGCCGCUCUUCCAUUUCCCCUCCCUCCUCGCUCCAUUGCCUAAAGCUAGAAAGAGGCCUGAAGGACUAUAAGGAUCACGGUUUCCUUCUUUUAAUCGUCGUCGCCUUCGCUUGCCCUCGUCUUCUGCGCCAUGAAGGAAGCCACGAAACAGAGCUUGAACGUUGUCUCCGAUUUAAUGGUCCUCCCCCCCCUGCUCAGGACCCGGAGGACGAAGGUCUGCCUUUUCGCCUUCGUUUUCGCCUUUGUUGCUUGUACUGCUUACCUAGCUUUCUACCCCCGGGCGAAGGCCGCCCGUCGGUUUAACAACCCCUUGUCCUCCGCCUCUAUCUCCACCGCCACCUACCGAUCUCCGUUGUCGUCCCUUUUCUCUCACGUGUUUCAUAAUUCCUCUUCGUCGCCGUCGCCAAGAAAGGCGGCGCCUUUAUCGGAAAACAUGAGUGACGAUGGAGUUUCGGGGAGGAAGAACAACCCGGAGGAUGGCACCAGGGCAAACAAAGGUGGCAGCUUGGACGCGAAGAACCGGCCACGAAUGAGGAUUCGGUCGCGGGGAAGUGAUGUGACCAAGAUGAAUCAGACGGUUGGAGAAAUUGGGUGGCGGGAAGGUGGUGAUUCGACAAAGAAUCACACGUCGAAUGGCGGAAACGGGAUUUCGACGAAUGAUCAGGGGAAGGAUGGAGUUGGUUCCGGGAAAGGCUCGGUCUUGCCAGCGAAGAAACAGGCAGGGAGUGGAGUCCCUCCCAUGAAAGAGCCUACGUCUGGAGUUGGUCCUCCGAAAACCGGUGGUGAUUCGACGGCACCAAAUCCGACGAAGAUUGGGGGCGCUUCUCUGAAUGAUACAGUCCUCGCAACUACAAAUGAAACCACAACUGGAGAUGCUGCUGGCGCAAAUGGAGAUUUACCAGCGGAGAAUCAGACGGGAAGAGGAUUCGCUCGAAAAGGACAUCGAGUAGAUGGAGAUGCAGCGAAGAACCAUUUCAGCAGUGGACCGGCCUCAACUCGAAAUCGUACCAGAACUGCCCGUCCGAAGGUUGAGAAGAAGGGGGUUUCGAGCUCGGCAGAGGCUGAAUGGAUC
rnacentral:lncRNA from 1 species